AAAAUUAACUUUGAUUUAAAGAAAACAAGCGAUUAAUUUAUAAUAUUUCCACAAUAAUAAUGAAAAGGUAUAUUGGAAAAUGCUCUCUACGAACGUCAACCGAACUUAAUGUGAUUUAUCAAUCAAAACUAAUAAAAAACAAACCAAUUAACUUUUGGUCACACUCGGUUUAUUUCUUAAUCCAGCAGCAGUCUAGAAAGAUGGAGUUAACGUGUACUUUAAUAUCUAUUAUGAGUUUUCUUAUGAUUUUACCAAGGCCCUGCAUGUCCUAUUUUUCUAGCGGGGAAGGUAGUGCUUCCGAUGAAUUCAAAUAUAAGCUCCAGAAAUUACGGAACGUGAAACCCGUAAGAACAUUUUAUUCUUAUGUCUUACCUAC